UGAAUACGAGACGCUAAGGCGUCGAAGUAGUGUAUGUCAUACUUCCAAGAAAAGCUUGCACUGUCAUAGAUAAAAAACGCCUGUACCAUAACCGACACAGGUGGGUAGGUAGAGUAUACUAAGGGGCGCGAGAUAACUCUCUCUAAGGAACUCGGCAAAAUAACUCCGUAACUUCGGGAGAAGGAGUGCCUUAUUCGUAAGGUUGCAAUAACAAGAUCCAAGCAACUGUUUAUCAAAAACACAGGUCUCCGCUAAGUCGUAAGACGAUGUAUGGGGGCUGACGCCUGCCCAGUGCCAGAAGGUUAAAGAAGUUGGUUAGCAAUUGCGAAGCUGAUAACUGAAGCCCUGGUGAACGGCGGCCGUAACAAUAACGGACCUAAGGUAGCGAAAUUCCUUGUCGGGUAAGUUCCGACCCGCACGAAAGGCGUAAUGAUUUGGAUACUGUCUCGGAGAGGGGCUCGGUGAAAUAGACUUGUCUGUGAAGAUGCGGACUACCUGCACCAGGACAGAAAGACCCUAUGAAGCUUUACUGUAACUUGAAAUUGAAAUUGGACUUUAUUCGCGCAGUAUAGGUGGGAGGCGUUGAUUAUAAUCUUGUGGGAUUAUUGGAGCCAUCAGUGAGAUACCACUCUUGUAAUGUUAGAUUUCUAACUUUGAAUCAUUAUCUGGUCAAAGAACAGUUUCAGGCGGGCAGUUUGACUGGGGCGGUCGCCUCCUAAACGGUAACGGAGGCGUACAAAGGUUUCCUCUGAACGGUUAGAAAUCGUAUCUAGAGUGUAAAGGCAUAAGGAAGCUUGACUGUGAGACCUACAAGUCGAGCAGGGACGAAAGUCGGUCUUAGUGAUCUGACGGUACUGAGUGGAAAGGCCGUCACUCAACGGAUAAAAGUUACUAGGAUAACAGGCUGAUCUCCCCCAAGAGUUCACAUCGACGGGGAGGUUUGGCACCUCGAUGUCGGCUCAUCGCAUCCUGGGGCGGUAGUACGUCCCAAGGGUUGGGCUGUUCGCCCAUGAAAGCGGUACGCGAGCUGGGUUCAGAACGUCGUGAGACAGUUCGGUCCAUAUCCGGUGUAGGCGUUAGAAUAUUGAGAGGAGCCUUCUUUAGUACGAGAGGACCGAGAAGGACAUACCUCUGGUGUACCAGUUAUCGUGCCAACGGUAAACGCUGGGUAGCUAUGUAUGGAGUGGAUAACCGCUGAAAGCAUCUAAGUGGGAAGCCCACCUCAAGAUAAG
rnacentral:rRNA from 1 species